rnacentral:rRNA from 1 species
GGCGGCAUUUUAUCUAUUUAAAGGAACCUGUCUUUUAAUCSAUACCCCCCGAUAUUUUUCACUUUUAUUCAAAUUUUAUAUACCYCCCUCUUGAGGAUUAAUAAUUAUAUUCYUUCCMAAAUARACUUCUAUAAGUUAGGKAAAGGKGAACYAUAUAAAAGAUAAGGKGGGUUACAAUAAAUUUUAUUUAAGGAUUUUUAUUAAACUUUUUUAUUGAACAA